rnacentral:piRNA from 1 species
UAAGAACAUUUUGCUGAUUUGUAAUAGAA